AACGAACGCUGGCGGCAUGCCUAACACAUGCAAGUCGAACGGAUGCAGCAAUGCAUCAGUGGCAGACGGGUGAGUAACACGUGGGAAUCUACCCAGUAGCCUGGAAUAACCGCGGGAAACUGCGGCUAAUACCGGAUACGCCCCUCGGGGGAAAGGAGCAAUCCACUAUUGGAGGAGCCCGCGGCCGAUUAGCUAGUUGGUGAGGUAACGGCUCACCAAGGCGAUGAUCGGUAGCUGGUUUGAGAGAACGACCAGCCACACUGGGACUGAGACACGGCCCAGACUCCUACGGGAGGCAGCAGUGGGGAAUAUUGGACAAUGGGGGAAACCCUGAUCCAGCAAUGCCGCGUGGGUGAUGAGGGCCUUCGGGUUGUAAAGCCCUUUUGGCGGGGACGAUGAUGACGGUACCCGCAGAAGAAGCCCCGGCUAACUUCGUGCCAGCCGCCGCCGUAA
rnacentral:rRNA from 1 species